rnacentral:rRNA from 1 species
UACGUAGGGCGCAAGCGUUGUCCGGAAUUAUUGGGCGUAAAGAGCUCGUAGGCGGCCAGUUGCGUCCGCUGUGAAAUCCCGGGGCUUAACCCCGGGCGUGCAGUGGAUACGGGCUGGCUAGAGGCAGGCAGGGGAGAACGGAAUUCCCGGUGUAGCGGUGAAAUGCGCAGAUGUCGGGAGGAACACCGGUGGCGAAGGCGGUUCUCUGGGCCUGUACUGACGCUGAGGAGCGAAAGCGUGGGGAGCAAACAGG